rnacentral:rRNA from 1 species
GACGAACGCUGGCGGCGUGCUUAACACAUGCAAGUCGAACGGAAAGGCCCUGCUUUUGUGGGGUGCUCGAGUGGCGAACGGGUGAGUAACACGUGAGUAACCUGCCCUUGACUUUGGGAUAACUUCAGGAAACUGGGGCUAAUACCGGAUAGGAGCUCUUGCUGCAUGGUGGGGGUUGGAAAGUUUCGGCGGUUGUGGAUAGACUCGCGGCUUAUCAGCUUGUUGGUGGGGUAGUGGCUUCCGAAGGCUUUGACGGGUAGCCGGCCUGAGAGGGGGACCGGGGACAUUGGGACUGAGGGACGGCCCAGAAUCCAACGGGAGGCAGCAGUGGAGAAUAUUACACAAUGGGCGGAAGCCUGAUGCGGCAACGCCGCGUGCGGGAUGACGGCCUUCGGGUUGUGAACCGCUUUCGCCUGUGACAAAGCGGGAGUGACGGUAAUGAGUAAAGAAGCACCGGCUAACUACGUG